GGUGUGCUAUAGGCCCGGGAACGCUGGCAGAGGGGCUCUCCAGGGGCCGGGAGCUUUCAGGACGUGGGAGCCUGGAUCUGGGAGCUGGGGGGGCCUCAACCCAUGGUUCUGUCCUCUUCCCACAGCAGGCUGCUGGGGUCCUGGGGAGGCCCGUGAGGGGCAAGGUCGCCUCUGGACCCCAGGCGGUCUCUCCCCCAGUGCCCCAGAAUGGAGCCUCUGUGCACCCACAUCCCAGUCCUUGGUUGGCAGCGAUUGCUGGCUUCCCGGAGCAGGGGGUGUCUGAGGACCCGGCCCAGAGCAAGCUUCUGUGAUCUGUGGGGGGGGGGGGGGGUAGGGGAGAGAGCUGGGCCUGCCUUGGCUCCCAGCCACCACCUUCCUAGGCCCCGAGGGUCUGAGACUUGGUGAUAUUUGGUAUUUUGUCUUUGGGACGUUUGUCAUUCCUUUCUCCUGAGUGACCCCUCCCCCCUGGCAACAGGAGGGGUGCCAAAGGCUACCCUGGAGACCCCGCUGUGCCCAUGGGGGUUCAUAAAUCAGUGCUGACACUGCUGACCCAGAUGGAUGGGGCACGGGGGGAGAAAGGGGUGCCACACGGCACAGGGGCUCCUCUAGGCCAGGUCGGAGGCCAGCGGGGAGACCAAGUCUGGACUCUGGUUGGGGGCAAAAGAGAGAGGAUGCAAGUUCCGGGGAUGCGGUGUGACCAAGAGGGCCUGGAGCCCUACAGCCCCUCCUCCCCCAGAGAAAUGAGCGGGGUUCUCUGGGGCCAGGGUCUGCCCAUCUCCUCUCCAGCCCCAGCCAGCACGAGAAGGCAGGUGCUAUGGUCCGUAUCGCAGACAGAGAAUGUGGUGGGCAUGGAGCCUUGGGAAGUGAGGGCGUCGGGAUUCCAGUCACACAGAGAGAGAGAGAGAGGCAGAGACACAGGCAGAGGGAGAAGCAGGCUCCAUGCACCGGGAGCCCGACGUGGGAUUUGAUCCCGGGUCUCCAGGAUCGCGCCCUGGGCCAAAGGCAGGCGCCAAACCGCUGCGCCACCCAGGGAUCCCUUCCUUGGUGUUCUAAAUCCCACAAUGCCUUAGUGCUCAGCUGCAGCAAAGGAAGGCCCGGUGAUGGCCUGUGUUCGGGGCCUGCGCCGGGCCCGCGUUGCUUCUGGGUCUGCGAUUUCAGCCCUCGAUGGAAGCACAGGGGCCCUGAGGCCGUGUCUCCCCGGCAGCGCUGAGAGGACACCGCAGCUGUAGGAGGGGUCCGAAGAGCAAGCAGAGAUGGUCCGCAGGGAGUAUCUGUGCACCGACGAUGCAGGUUGCGGUGGGAGAGCUUAUUGGGGGGUUUGGCAAGAAUGGGGGUCGUGAGGCAGACGCAGAAGCCCCCCAUUCCCAGGGGGACACUCCUUUCACUCCAAGGAUGAUACACACACCCAACCAACAGAAAGUGCUUUAAGCUAAAAAUUACGUAUUUUCAAAUGAACGUGAGGACAAAGCUUGAGUCAUAAAAAAACCUUUCAGUUACCUGGUUCUUCCCCCAAAUCAUCUCCAGUCCCUCCCCUUACUCGGAUGGUUUGUGCCUCUACCUACCCCAAAACAGGUGCGGACACUGUGCAAACCCAGCUGCGACAGCAUGGUUCUCUCUUCCCUCCCAGGAGGAGUCGACCCUCAAAACCAGAGUGAAAGCGAGGGAUGUGUCUUGAUACCGUGGAAACCAGGGAAGCUACCUGAAUCUGGGUUUGGGGUAGGAGUGAGGGUAUAAGCAGAGUCUCCCUUGGCCUGGCACCAACAUCAGAAGUCGCGCCCUGAACAACACAGCAGGCCUGCCGUUCACAGAGGGAGCCACAUGAGAUGGGCGAAGGACGAAUCCUGAGUCACCAUCAAGGGAUGAGGGAGCGUCCUUGGGGAGAGGUGAUGGGGGUGGAGGGAUGCCGGCAACUUCACAAGGGAAUUUGUCUGAACAGAGGGCGUGAGGUUUCGCUGUUUUUCUCAAAUAAAAAAUGAUAUUUAAUGA